rnacentral:misc_RNA from 1 species
AACGCAAAUUGCGCUUCAUGGUAUUCCAUGGAGCAUACCUGUUUGAGUCUCAUUUUACCUUCAUUCCUCGUAUUGUCUCCGGACAAUAAUUGGAGUGAAUUUGUGUCUAUGCACAUCUCACCUCUGGGUGUAACGUUCAAGACAUUAAAUGUAGUGACGGUACUUGAUCUAAUUAUCUACCAACGGCGCGAUUAAUUUUGACCGACAAUAGAUCUAAUCAAGGUGACCGACGGCUCAGACGAUUUUUACCAAACGCUUUGCCAUUGAGGAUGGUUAGGAAUGAUUUUGGCAUUGCCUGAAUCUUUUCACCAGUCCUUUUAUUUGGAGCUCAAAUCAGGCAGGACUACCCGCUGAACUUAA